rnacentral:rRNA from 1 species
UGCAGUCGAGCGGUAGAGAGAAGCUUGCUUCUCUUGAGAGCGGCGGACGGGUGAGUAAUGCCUAGGAAUCUGCCUGGUAGUGGGGGAUAACGUCCGGAAACGGACGCUAAUACCGCAUACGUCCUACGGGAGAAAGCAGGGGACCUUCGGGCCUUGCGCUAUCAGAUGAGCCUAGGUCGGAUUAGCUAGUUGGUGGGGUAAUGGCUCACCAAGGCGACGAUCCGUAACUGGUCUGAGAGGAUGAUCAGUCACACUGGAACUGAGACACGGUCCAGACUCCUACGGGAGGCAGCAGUGGGGAAUAUUGGACAAUGGGCGAAAGCCUGAUCCAGCCAUGCCGCGUGUGUGAAGAAGGUCUUCGGAUUGUAAAGCACUUUAAGUUGGGAGGAAGGGCCAUUACCUAAUACGUGAUGGUUUUGACGUUACCGACAGAAUAAGCACCGGCUAACUCUGUGCCAGCAGCCGCGGUAAUACAGAGGGUGCAAGCGUUAAUCGGAAUUACUGGGCGUAAAGCGCGCGUAGGUGGUUUGUUAAGUUGGAUGUGAAAUCCCCGGGCUCAACCUGGGAACUGCAUUCAAAACUGACUGACUAGAGUGUGGUAGAGGGUGGUGGAAUUUCCUGUGUAGCGGUGAAAUGCGUAGAUAUAGGAAGGAACACCAGUGGCGAAGGCGACCACCUGGACCAACACUGACACUGAGGUGCGAAAGCGUGGGGAGCAAACAGGAUUAGAUACCCUGGUAGUCCACGCCGUAACGAUGUCAACUAGCCGUUGGGAGCCUUGAGCUCUUAGUGGCGCAGCUAACGCAUUAAGUUGACCGCCUGGG